UUAUGGAUUAUGACGUUUUCAAAAGUUCUCCAGGUGAUUCUGAGCAGCCAGUCUGAUACUGGUUUUGUGGGUUGUUUGGGAACCAUUGAUGUGUGGAAGGAACAAGGGAUUUGGAAUCAGGAGUCCUGGACUUAACUUCUUGCUUUGUUGUUGACUUAACUUCUCUGAGCCUCAGUGGUGCGAUUUGUUCCAGGACAAACAAGACAGCCUGCUCAGGAGGAGAGAAUAGACAGACAUGAUGUCCCAUUUUAACUUGGAAUGCUUUGGUUAUUGUCCCCCAACAUUUUGGUGUCAAAUCAUCAGGCCAAGGGAUUGGCAUGGAUCGUCUAAUUGAUGUCCACAUAUUCAAGGAAAUCAGGAAGGAUGAAGAGAUGUCUUCAGAAACAUCACAUGUCCAAUGGCCUCUUGAUCUGUAGUGCCUCAGGCAAGAAAGCUCCCAGGUGUGUCCACAGAGAAACUUAUCUUCUGGAAAUGCAUGAAGACCCUAUAAACAACCGUCCUGCAUAGAGCUGACUGUAGAAAUCACAGGAAGAAUUGACCAGGCCAGAUGAAACGCUUUGGGGAAGAACGCUCACUCAGUACCUACUGGAAGCACGUCAAGCAACAGACCAUCUUCCUUUCCACCUCCUUUCCGCAGGGAAGAAAACCACAAAGCACCUGCUGGGAGGGAUUAGAUAGCUCAGUGGGAAUUCCUCAGUGGAAGACUAUGUUUUUUCAAAUGUGUUUUCAAAUAUGUCUUAUCUGAAAAGAGACCAGACUAUGAAAGACCAGAUUCGAUGGGACUGGAUUUAGGGUGUUCACAGCUCUGACAUCCUGGGACCUAAGUGCUAAACUCCCUGGAAGGAGGAGGAGGAAGGGUCAAUGAAGCUGUUUGCUAGGUUUAUCUAGGGGAGUUGGAGCUGGAAGAAAUCUACUACUCCAUUGUCCCUAACCUACUCACGUGUCCCAUUCUAACCAAGCAUUUUCAAGAUCAGAACCUUUAAACAAAACCAAACCCAAACAUGCCAUUUUUGUGGGUACAGCAAAUACAAAAAGAAGUGUAGACGCUGACUUGCACUCUCCCUAAAUUCUCUGGAUUUUGUCUAGGAUGGAUGUAGCUGCUGACAGACAUGAUGGUGAUGGUCUCUCAGAUGGGCUCUUGUCAGAUGGUGGCUGCUGGACUCUCCACCUUCAGAGACAUCUGCAUGACUUCCAGUGAAGCAGGGACACCACUUUGGGACCAAGGCUCACUUCUCUCAUAAUGUUUCUCUUCCCAGGGUAGUUAUUCCAGGAGCUGGUACUCUUUUUUUCAUUGUUUAUUAUAUACCUAAGGCCCACCUAGUAGAAGCAGGGGUCUAAAUGUCGUUGGUUUUAUUAUUUUAUCUUCCUUACUAAGUUUGGUAAAACACUGGAAAUUAAUUAUUCCUGUGUAAGUACUUGAUGCCCAGUAUAAAGUUGUUGCUUUUGCUUCUUGACCAACAUAAACUAACAGCCCCUUGUUCUUCUUUAUUUAUAAGACAUAAUGAUAAUCACAAACACCUUUUAAACAAAUUCAUUUCAUACUUCGGUAAGAAAGAAAUUAGAAGAGCGAUCUCUUUUUGAAUUGGUCAGCCCCAGGGACUUCAGGUGUGAAGUUCCUGGAGAGGGAAAUUUUCAAAUGACUGGAAGAGUGUGAGCAAGUCUGAAUGAAGGAGCUGUUAUAGGAAAUAGGAGAGAACCUAGCUGUUUGGGGGUUGACUGCAAAGGAGAUAAAGCUAGAACGGCAUGUUGAAGUCAUAUUCUGUACAAUCCUGAGUUGGGUGAGGAGUGUGAACUGUUAAAUGUAGUCCAUUAAAUAGAUCCAUGCACAUUAUCCAUUACCAUCUCACUUUCAACAACAGAAUGCUGAGCCCUGCUGGAGAAGUUUUUAUAACUUUGCAGUUAUAACUAAAAAUGCAUUGUCUUUUAUCUCAUUAGUUUGGAUAUCCCAGCUUAGCUAUCCUUCUAGGCGAUGUCAGUCUGUUCCUCAUGUAUUUUCAAUUGUAAAUUAUCUGUAU